rnacentral:misc_RNA from 1 species
AACGCACAUUGCGCCCGCCAGUAUUCUGGCGGGCAUGCCUGUUCGAGCGUCAUUUCAACCCUCAAGCCCCAGUGGCCUGGUGUUGGGGACCGGCGACCUCGCCCGGGGGAACACCCCCGGCGCGUCCGCCGCCCCCGAAAUGAAUUGGCGGCCCCGUCGCGGCCUCCUCUGCGUAGUAGCACAACCUCGCAGCGGGAGCGCGACGCGGCCACUGCCGUAAAACGCCCAACUUUUUUUUAGAGUUGACCUCGGAUCAGGUAGGAAUACCCGCUGAACUUAAG